rnacentral:lncRNA from 1 species
UGCGGCUUUCUUCUCUCUCCCUCUCUCUCUCAUCACAUGUGCUGGGAGAGAUAAGCUGUCGUGUUGUAAGCAGCCUUAUGGAGAGGGCCAUGUGGUAUGGCAAGAGUUGAACUGAAGCCCUCAGUCCAAUAGCCUGAAAUGAACUGACACUUGGCAACAAUCAAGUGAGUGACCUUAGAAGUGAAUCCCCCUACCCAAAAGAAGUGAAAGCAGGAAGUCAGAUUGUUGUACACCCAUGUUCAUAGCAGCAUUAUUCACAACAACCAAAAUGUGGAAGCAGCCUAAGUGUCCAUUGAUGAAAGAAUGGAUAAGCAAAAUAUACAUACAAUGGAAUACUAUUCAGCCCUAAAGGAAAUUUUGACACAUACUACAAGAUGGACACUAUGCUAAGUGAAAUAAGCCAGUCACAAAAAGACAAAUAUUGUAUGACUCCACUUGUAUGAGGUACCUAGAAUAGUCAAAUUCAUAGAGACUGAGAGUAACAUGAUAGUUGCUAGGGGCUGGGGGGUGAGGUGGGAAUGGGGAGUCAAUAUCUAAGGGGUACAAAGUUUCAGUUGGAGAAGAUGAAAAAGUUCUAGAGGUGGAUGGAGGUGAUGGUUGCACAAAAAUGUGAAUGUGCUUAAUGCCACAGAGCUCUACACUUAAACAUGGUUAAAAUAGUAAAUUUUAUGUAUAUCUUACCACAAUAAAAAAAUAAAAAAAGAACAAGAAGAAAUGGGUUCCCCAAUGCCCCAGUCGAACCUUCAGAUGAGACUGCAGCUCUGGCAGCUUUACUACAACCUCAUGAGAGACGAUGAGCCAGAGACACCAGCUAAGCUGCACCCUUAUUUCUGACCCACAGAAACUGUGAGAUAAUUAGUUCCUGUUGUUUUAAGUCACUACAUUUGGGGGAUAAUUUGUUAUAUGCAGCAAUAGAUAACUAAUACACUGGCACUGGGGAAUCUUGACAGAAUUAUUUUGUGGAAAUUCUUAUUUCUUUUGCUUCAAAUUACAUGCUCACGUAUAUAAUCCCAUUUAAUACACUUUCUGAGCAGGAAAUAACCAGAACAACAUGUUGAAUGACAUAUAUACCCUAUCUCAUAUAAUCUUUGUAAUUACCCUGUUUGCUGUGUACUAUUAUUUCCAUUUUGUGAUGGGGCAGAAGAAGGAACGUCGUAUAGCUAAUUAAUGGAGGAGCAGGGUUUCAAGUCCAUAUCCAUUUGUCUCCAAAACUCAGGCUGACAUUUAGUUUCAAGAUAAGCCAACGCCGGAGACAGUGAUGUGUUCAAUAUUCCACAGCUGUUUGGAAGCAAUACUGCCUGGAUCCACGGCCUCGACCUGUCCCCAGUCCAGCAGCAUCAGCACCACCUG